CCCUUAGAUGUUCUGGGCCGCACGCGCGCUACACUGAUGCAUUCAACGAGUUUCUUCCUGGUCCGAGAGGAAUGGGUAACCUUUUGAAAGUGCAUCGUGAUAGGGAUAGACUAUUGCAAUUAUUGGUCUUCAACGAGGAAUUCCUAGUAGACGUAGUUCAUCAGACUGCAUCGAUUACGUCCCUGCCCUUUGUACACACCGCCCGUCGCUCCUACCGAUUGAAUGCUCAGGUGAGCCAUUCGGACUUUCAUCAUGCUGGUUUCCAGUUUUGAUUAAGGAAAGUCUUGCGAACCUUAUCAUUUAGAGGAAGGAGAAGUCGUAACA
rnacentral:rRNA from 1 species